AUGGCAUAUUUUGCCAACUGUGCUUGUCAGCCCAUUGGAACUCCAAACCUUUGCUUGCAUUGCCUUAUAAUUGAUGAAGUUGACCACAUACUUGAGCAAAAUUUCAAGGAGGACAUGAAACAAAUAUUUAAACGCCUCCCUCAGACUCAAAAGGUUAGUGGAUCUGUUAGUGAGCCUAUUCAAACUUCCCCCAAUUUCUCUAUCGGCGGCAAUGCUUAUGUCCUGUCAUCCCACAGGGAUUUUCCUGGUCCGUGGACCAGAACGUUUACUUCUAGGCCGAGCCUUGGAACAGGACGCAAUCGAAACCUGCCGCCGCCACGACAGAGCGGGUGGCUGACGCUGGCUCGGCCGUGUGCCCAUGGCCGUGACUUGCAGCUUUCCUCUCGGGAAGAGUUUGUGGACACCUUGGAGCGUCUAGAUCCGGUCCCUCUAGCGGUGCUCCCGUGGCGCGAUGGCAACAGUCCCCUGAGCCGGCUGACUCGAAUGCCGGCUCCUGGUACCGGCAGCAUGUUGGCGGUGCUAGCACGGGCAACCCGGAGAGCGACGGUCGCCAGUGACGGCAAUCUUCUCCGACACGGUCAACGCAGUCCACGUACCGGGUCAAUCCUGAGGCUCCGGGCUGGACAAAAAGUUGCACAUACGAUUGCAGAACAACCAAAAUGGAAAUGCUUGUUCAUGCAAUAUGGAAAGGCUAGGCCAGUGGCUAAUUCGAGGUUACAUCUAGGGAGUGCGCCGCCAGACAGAGCGCCGUGUCCAUCUAGGAUGAGUGCCUUAGAGCAGUCAAUUCACAAGUAUGCAGAGGAAUCAAUGAAAAGUAUUCUUCAGUCUGAACAAGGACUUAGUUUGGACUCUCUUGGUGUGGCGUAUGACUUCUACAAUUCGUACUCAUGGGAGAUUGGGUUCAGGAUAAGAGAAGAGGACAAUGAUUCCCAAGUUUUUGGGUUCAUCUCCAAGUGCCAGGGAAAUAUGCUAGCAGGAGGACUGCUUGGUAAUGGAGAAGUUGCAUUCAUGGCAAAUGGGGUUGCAGACCAUGAAUGCAGUGCAGGCCUGCCUGUGAGUGUCAAUGCGCUUGGAGGGUUAGCUUGGAUAGAGAAGCAGAGAGGGGUCGGCAGGCCAAGGAACAGCCGGGAGAAAGCACUGUACGAGGGACUGAGACGAGGUUCGGCAGUAUAUGUCGCCGUGAACGUCACAAGAGAACGACUUUGCCCUGACCGGGAAAUCCAGGAAGAUGCAAGAACUGUGGACUGGAAGGACAGCGCCGGAACACGUGCACGCCCACUUGGUGCAGUCUACUGCACUGAUGCCGCCAUGUCGAGCUCCUCUGUCCUCUGCUCCGAGCCUUUCUAUUCGUCCCUCUCGACGCCGAAGCCCUUCCCCUUGAUCUCCUUGCCCGCGUGCUACUACACUGGAGUCGUUUCCGGCGUCGCUCAUCUCGGCCUACUCUCUGUCGUCCUCCUACUGCACUGA
rnacentral:rRNA from 1 species